CAGAUAAUAGUUUAAAUAAAAAUAUUAAUUUUGGAUAUUAAUGAUAUUAGUAAUAGUUUAUCUGA
rnacentral:tRNA from 1 species